UCGCGGAGUCGCCUGCUUCAUCUUCAAGCUUCCCAGCUGCCCAGCUCCAUCUUCAACCGUCGCAUGUCCGUCUUCACCCUCAGGCCUUAGGUUUGUAGUUCUUUUCUCACAAUCUCACAUUCUCUAAUUCUUACUAGUCACCGAUCGCCGUUUGGUGCCGAGCGGUCGCACCCCCUUUGGCAGUUGGUCCCUUUUCAUAAAUCUUAAUUCAAUUGUUUGCCUAAGUUUUGAAUUUUGAAAUCUUAUUAUGUUUUUGCCCUAAUUUUCCCAAUUAUGUUUCAGCUCUAAUUUCCCUAAUUUCACAACCUUAAAAAGGUUUUAGCUAGCUUGUUAAUUGUUAUAUAUGUGUAAAUGAUAUAAUUUUUACAGUGUUUUUGAGUAGUAGAACUAAUGGUGUUAGCUAGCUACCAUAUAUGUAGAUGUUUGUAAAAUUACUAAGUUAUUGUGAAUGUUGUUUCUAGUUUUUGUGUUUGUGGAGAUUGUUAACAUAAUGAUUAUCAGCAUAUAGUAUUCGAUUGUGGAACUUGCAACAUUCGUAUCCUUUUAGAUAGAUUCCACAAGACACAGGAAUUGAUGUGUCGUGUGCAGCAAAUUGCAAGCUGAGCUCUAAUUUGAGACGAAGCAAUCUUUCUUGUACACUCACUACUCAUCGACAAUACUGCCGAGUAAGUUCUGAGAGUGCAAAUGAAGGUUCAAGUGGGGGGAGUGAUGCAAACUCUCAAAAUGUAGGUAUUUUAUAUCUUAGUUAUUAAUUUUUAAAGAUAAUUUUGAUGGCAGUGUAUACUUCUUGUUUUAUUUGUGGAAAACAUUAUAUUUUUUAUGUUGUACUUUAUUUUCCUCUUGAUGCAUGAAACUGUAUUUCAGUAUUUGGUUUCAUGUCUCUCUAGUCUCUAAUUCCUAUAAGUGAUAUUAGUCUUCAGCCCGCUGCGUUUGAUCUUGUUCGAUACAGGAGGUAGGCAAGGUUCAAGUCCUUUGGAAAUGCAGUGAAUAGUUUGCAAUGCAUUUGAUUAAUAAAAAAA